rnacentral:lncRNA from 1 species
GGGGCCCGCCACAAGAUCGCCCUCAGCAUCCAGAAGCUGCGCGAGAGGCAGAGCGUCCUCAAGUCGCUGGAGAAGGUGCGGAGGGGCGGCGGGGUGGCCCUGGCGUUGUCCCCAACCGCCCGCCCCGUGUCCCCCAGGCUGGCAGGGUCCCUCCUGUGUCCCUGGUCCCGGCCCAGGGUGUCCCUGGGUCCCUCCGGUGUCCCUGUGUCCCCCCUGUGUCCCUCCUGUGUCCCUGGUCCUGGCCCAGGGUGUCCCUGGUCCCCCCCGUGUCCCUGGUCUGUCCCUGUGUCCCUCCUGUGUCCCUGGUCCCGGCCCAGGGUGUCUCUGUGUCCCUCCGGUGUCCCUGGUCCCCCCCUGUGUCCCUCCGGUGUCCCUGGUCCUGGCCCGGGGUGUCCCUGAUCCCAGCCCAGGGUGUCCCUGGGUCCCUCCUGUGUCCCUGGGUCCCUCCUGUGUCCCUGGUCCCAGCCCGGGGUGUCCCUGGGUCCCUCCUGUGUCCCUGGAUCCCUCCCGUGUCCCUGGUCCCAGCCCAGGGUGUCCCUGGGUCCCCCCUGUGUCCCUGGGUCCCUCCUGUGUCCCUGGUCCCAGCCCAGGGUGUCCCUGGGUCCCUCCGGUGUCCCUGUGUCCCCCCUGUGUCCCUCCUGUGUCCCUGGUCCCCCCCGUGUCCCUGGUCCCCCCCUGUGUCCCUCCCGUGUCCCUGGUCCUAGCCCAGGGUGUCCCUGUGUCCCUCCGGUAUCCCUGGUCCCCCCCUGUGUCUCUCCGGUGUCCCUGGUCCUGGCCCGGGGUGUCCCUGGUCCCAGGGUGUCCCUGGGUCCCUCCUGUGUCCCUGGAUCCCUCCCGUGUCCCUGGUCCCAGCCCGGGGUGUCCCUGGGUCCCUCCUGUGUCCCUGGGUCCCCCCUGUGUCCCUGGUCCCAGCCCGGGGUGUCCCUGGUCCCCCCUGUGUCCCUGGUCCCGGCCCAGGGAGUCCCUGGUCCCCCCCCAUGUCCCUGGGUCCCUCCUGUGUCCCUGGUUCCCCCCCGUGUCCCUGGGGCUGGCCCAGGGUGUCCCUGUGUCCCUAGAGCUGGUCCAAAGUGUCCCUUGUCCCCCCUCCCAUGUCCCUGGGGCUGGUAGAGGGUCCUUUGUGCCCCCCAUGUCCCUGGGGCCAGCCCCGGGGUGUCUUUGACCCUCCCCUGAGCCCCCCUUGUCCCCCAGUGUCCCCAGAGCUGGUACGGGGGGUCUCUGAUGCCCCCCCCGGUCCCCUUGUCCC